rnacentral:rRNA from 2 species
GGGCUCGCAGGCGGUUUCUUAAGUCUGAUGUGAAAGCCCCCGGCUCAACCGGGGAGGGUCAUUGGAAACUGGGGAACUUGAGUGCAGAAGAGGAGAGUGGAAUUCCACGUGUAGCGGUGAAAUGCGUAGAGAUGUGGAGGAACACCAGUGGCGAAGGCGACUCUCUGGUCUGUAACUGACGCUGAGGAGCGAAAGCGUGGGGAGCGAACAGGAUUAGAUACCCUGGUAGUCCACGCCGUAAACGAUGAGUGCUAAGUGUUAGGGGGUUUCCGCCCCUUAGUGCUGCAGCUAACGCAUUAAGCACUCCGCCUGGGGAGUACGGUCGCAAGACUGAAACUCAAAGGAAUUGACGGGGGCCCGCACAAGCGGUGGAGCAUGUGGUUUAAUUCGAAGCAACGCGAAGAACCUUACCAGGUCUUGACAUCCUCUGACAAUCCUAGAGAUAGGACGUCCCCUUCGGGGGCAGAGUGACAGGUGGUGCAUGGUUGUCGUCAGCUCGUGUCGUGAGAUGUUGGGUUAAGUCCCGCAACGAGCGCAACCCUUGAUCUUAGUUGCCAGCAUUCAGUUGGGCACUCUAAGGUGACUGCCGGUGACAAACCGGAGGAAGGUGGGGAUGACGUCAAAUCAUCAUGCCCCCUUAUGACCUGGGCU